AGGUCAUAAAAUAAAAUAAAAGUAUCGAGAAAGGCCGAAAGGCAAGUUAUGUCGGCCGUCUAUGAAGGGAAUGUACCACGUCGUAUGUUCUUGUGUACAGCGUACUUCCAGGCCGUACUAAGCGUGUCAGCUUGUCUAAUAUUAAUAACAUUUUGUCCCCGGCUAGCUUUCAGAAUUUCUAGUUUUUCCGCUGUGGGAAGGGCCCUGCGGUCUGUGAUGUUUUUUACGACUUUCGCGUUUUGCCAAGAAAUUUCCGUAUCCUUCUCGUAGGCUCUCAGGGCUAGCGCCGUACAGAGGUUGCCUCUGGAAAUAUUCUGCUUAUGUUCAUG
rnacentral:lncRNA from 1 species